rnacentral:rRNA from 1 species
AAGGGUGCGUAGGCGGCUUUUUAAGUCAGUGGUGAAAUCCUGCCGCUUAACGGUAGAAUUGCCAUUGAUACUGAAAGGCUUGAGUUCAGUUGAGGUAAGCGGAAUGUGUAGUGUAGCGGUGAAAUGCUUAGAUAUUACACAGAACACCAAUUGCGAAGGCAGCUUACUAAACUGACACUGACGCUGAUGCACGAAAGCGUGGGGAGCGAACAGGAUUAGAUACCCUGGUAGUCCACGCCGUAAACGAUGUUCACUCGCUGUUUGCGAUACACAGCAAGCGGCCAAGCGAAAGCAUUAAGUGAACCACCUGGGGAGUACGAUCGCAAGGUUGAAACUCAAAGGAAUUGACGGGGGCCCGCACAAGCGGAGGAACAUGUGGUUUAAUUCGAUGAUACGCGAGGAACCUUACCUGGGCUUAAAUGUAGAACGACAGAUUGUGAAAGCAGUCCUUCUUCGGACGUUUUACAAGGUGCUGCAUGGUUGUCGUCAGCUCGUGCCGUGAGGUGUCGGGUUAAGUCCCAUAACGAGCGCAACCCUUAUCGUUAGUUGCCAGCGGGUCAAGCCGGGGACUCUAGCGAGACUGCCACCGUAAGGUGUGAGGAAGGUGGGGAUGACGUCAAAUCAGCACGGCCCUUAUGUCCAGGGCUACACACGUGUUACAAUGGCCGGUACAAAGGGCAGCUACUUCGCGAGAAGAUGCUAAUCUCGAAAGCCGGUCUCAGUUCGGAUCGAAGUCUGCAACCCGACUUCGUGAAGCUGGAUUCGCUAGUAAUCGCAUAUCAGCCAUGAUGCGGUGAAUACGUUCCCGGGCCUUGUACACACCGCCCGUCAAACAAUGGAAGCUGGGGGUACCUGAAGUCUGUAACCGCAAGGAGCG